AUUGCUCUCUUUCAUGAAGAGGUUUCAACUUAUUUUAGAUCUUGUUUUUCUCUUUAUUUUCUCCUUCUAUAGUUUUUUUUUCCCUUAUUCAUGCAUUCCUUGCUCAGUAGUUACUUUUAUGCAUGACUAAUUCAUGGGAAUUGGUUUUCUUAUCGGAAGCCCUAUUGGCCAAAUUCUUAUGAACCUCGACUAUUUGCAUAUGAAUCAUAUUCUUCAUCUAGAGUGUCAAGUUUCAUUACACAUUUGUUCUUGUGUACUUGGCCAAGGUGAUGACUGUUUGGACUUGCCAAGAUGUUGACUUCAGAUAAUCUUGCUUGCGAUGCACAAUGUCUUGAAGCUAUCUAUAUCAAAUAUAUCUUAAUUCAGGAGGAUUGGUAGCUGUAUGUGUCCCAAUCUGAUAUACCUUGUAGUUCCAAAUCAGAUAUGGUCUUUGGG